rnacentral:lncRNA from 1 species
GUUCAGAGCUUCCCAGAAGGGAAGAAGACAAGCUGUAGGGGCAGUAAGAUUUGCACACCUUGGGUCCUGGGACCAUCCUGCUCAGCUGAGUAGAAUACCAAACGAGGGUGUUUCUGAGCUGCACUUCACCUCAGCCAGGCAAUCGACAGGAGAAGCAGCGAGCGAGACCGACAGACUGUCACUGGCAAAAUGAACUGUCACCUCCCAUUUUUCAGAGGCACGGCGGGAUGAAUUGCAGCCUUGAACCUUGCGGCCCGCUGUUGAUUGAGUUCCGCUGUCUUAGAACCCCGUCGAACAAGGCGAGUUCAUUUCAGACUGACGUACCACCGCUUAUCAAUUUAGGAGCCAGUAAAAUUAACCGCUUCGGAGCUGAUUUUCUCGGUCCCCCUGCUUGGAUUCCGCAUGCAGAAAGGUCACCAGAUAAAUCUCUCUGGGUCCUGCUAGCAUGAUAUGCAGCUAGGAGAUGGGGUCUCAGAAGAGGAAGCUGAACCAAACAGCCCACGCCCAAAAAGGUCGCUGAGGCCCUCUUACAGCCACGGAUUGUGGCAGUGGUGUGUGACAAGUCGUGCCUUUGCUAACUCUGCUCUGCCCACAUCAGCAGCAUCUGCUCCCAAGAGAUACUGUGGUUGGGUAGGAUUGGGUGGCUGAGAAUGGAGAUGCUACAGAAGCCCCCGCAGUCUUUCUGCAGAGAUCUCUGUAUAUUCUUCUGCUUUGCAUCCACAGGGCCUUACACAUAGUAGGCACCCGCUAAAUGUCUAUUAAACUGAAUAUGACUUGAUGUAUGCUUUACCAUCAAUCGGUUUGAAAAGUUUAAAAGAAGUUAGCAUGGACAGGGCCCUGGUGGAAAGAAAAAAAAGAAAUGUUUAUCCAGGAAUAUCUUUAUUGUCACCGGACAUUCAUGGGGCCCAGUCCAUGCUAAAAAUCCUCUGGCAACUUGAAGGUCCUUAGAGCACAGCAGGAAGCUCACCAGAACAGAGUUCCUUGUCUCCAGAAGAAAAACUGUCUCAUGCCACAUUCUCCCCUCACACACAUACAGCUUUUUUGCUCAUAAAGGCCUGUCCAGUAGGUCUAAUUCACGUAUCUCAGGGCUUCUCCUCUCCUCUGCAUCCGGGACACAAAUAGUUUUCUCAACACCCUUUGAACCUCUUGUCACCAU